rnacentral:rRNA from 1 species
AACGAACGCUGGCGGCGCGCCUAAUACAUGCAAGUCGAGCGAGAAGACGUAGCAAUACGUUUGUAAAGCGGCGAACGGGUGAGGAAUACAUGGGUAACCUACCCUCGAGUGGGGAAUAACUAGCCGAAAGGUUAGCUAAUACCGCGUACGCUCCUUGGACUUCGGUUCAGGGAGGAAAGCGAUACCGUGGGUAUCGCGCUCUUGGAUGGGCUCAUGUCCUAUCAGCUUGUUGGGAGGUAACGGCUCACCAAGGCUUCGACGGGUAGCUGGUCUGAGAGGACGAUCAGCCACACUGGCACUGCGACACGGGCCAGACUCCUACGGGAGGCAGCAGUAAGGAAUAUUGCGCAAUGGGCGAAAGCCUGACGCAGCGACGCCGCGUGGGGGAUGAAGGUCUUCGGAUUGUAAACCCCUUUCGGGAGGGAAGAUGGAACGAGCAAUCGUUCGGACGGUACCUCCAGAAGCAGCCACGGCUAAC